rnacentral:rRNA from 1 species
CAUACCUAUUCCAAGGGAUAGGGUCGGUUUGGCCGGAUUUCACACAGGUGUUGCAUGGCUGUCGUCAGCUCGUGUCGUGAGAUGUUGGGUUAAGUCCCGCAACGAGCGCAACCCUCAUCCUUAGUUACCAUCAGGUUAUGCUGGGGACUUUAAGGAAACUGCCAGUGAUAAACUGGAGGAAGGUGGGGAUGAUGUCAAGUCAUCAUGGCCCUUAUGGAGUGGGCUACACACGUGCUGCAAUGGUGAUUACAAUGGGCUGCAAGGUCGCAAGGCUGAGCUAAUCCUAAAAAAUCAUCUCACUUCGGAUUGUUCUCUGCAACUCGAGAGCAUGAAGUUGGAAUCUCUAGUAAUCGUGUAUCAGCAUGCCACGGAGAAUACCUUCUCGGGUCUUGUACACAAUGCCCGUCACGCCAUGGGAAUUGGUUUCACUCCAAACU